CCCGCCAGAGGACCCCUAAACUCUGUUUCUAUAUGUAACUUCUGAGUAAAACCAUAAAUAAAUCAAAACUUUCAACAACGGAUCUCUUGGUUCUGGCAUCGAUGAAGAACGCAGCAAAAUGCGAUAAGUAAUGUGAAUUGCAGAAUUCAGUGAAUCAUCGAAUCUUUGAACGCACAUUGCGCCCGCCAGUAUUCUGGCGGGCAUGCCUGUUCGAGCGUCAUUUCAACCCUCAAGCCCAGCUUGGUGUUGGACUCGCGAGUCAAAUCGCGUUCCCCAAAUUGAUUGGCGGUCACGUCGAGCUUCCAUAGCGUAGUAGUAAAACCCUCGUUACUGGUAAUCGUCGCGGCCACGCCGUUAAACCCCAACUUCUGAAUGUUGACCUCGGAUCAGGUAGGAAUACCCGCUGAACUUAAGCAUAUC
rnacentral:misc_RNA from 1 species